AGUAUAAAUUUGACAACAUCCUGAAAAAUCUAAAAGUGCAAUUUUUUUCUUUAAAGAAUUUUCUCUGGCACCACAGAUCCUGUAGAUACCUAUUUAUAUUUAUACAUAUAUAUUUAUGAAAUAAUUCUUAUUCACAAAAUAUAUUUCUGAAUAGCCUAAAAAUUAAGAUACUAAAUCUGAUGCUUAAAUUUUCUUUAAUUUGGCUAUUACUGUUUUUUGUUUAAAACUUAAAACUUGCUUUUUAAAUUGUGUAUAGAUUUUAAUCUAAUAGUUGCUGGUAUAGAUUUGGACUGUGUGUGUGUGCUCUUAAGAAAACAGUUUUGAAUGUCUAAACAUUUGAUUUAAAGUUCCCUGUUUAUCUUUUUGACCAAAGGAGCAAGAGAUAUAAUGGAUAUGGCAUUCAUUAAAAUCAUUAAUAUAUAGGAAAAAUAAUAUUUAUAGCAUCAGCAAAUAUUUUUAAGUGGUAUAUGAUCUUGGACAAUGUUAUAUGAAGUAGAAAAUAAAAUGUUUUCCAGCUGUGUGUUUUGUUUUACAAUACCUUGUCCUAUAUUACUUGAGACUUUUAACAAGUAUUGUUUUUUUCUAACAUAUUUACAGUUUUUGCUAGGGGAAAUAUUAAGAAAAUUUUAUCACAGUUUUUUUGUAAAUCAUGGAUUCUGUAUAUAUCUCUAAUAUUACUUUGUAAAUUAGACAAACUAUUUUAUCUGUGUCUACAAAAUAGCAAAUCCCUGUUAGCAAAUUAUUGUAUUAUUCUUUCUGACAUUGCCCCCAAAAGGUUAACUUCUGUUCCUGAUAUGGUAUGACAUCGUCUCUGUGUUCCUUAGGCAAGACAGAUCUACAAAAAAACCAAACAGGUAAAAGCCCUAGAUAAAUAAAACUUAGAGGACUUGGAAUGACGAGAGGCAGUAUAGAGAUAUCUUUGGCUGCAGAAGCAGCAGCAGAUGUAAACACCUGUCAUGUGUGUCCCUGUGGUUUGUAUGCGUGGAUUAUUUGGGUUACUCAUUUGUUCCUUUUGUGGUGCUGGCUCAAACCUAGUACCAUGCACAUGUUAGGCAAGUGCCGUAAUGGUUGAACACACCCCUCAGUGGGUAAAGGGCUUGCCUCUGCCUGAUUUUGUUUCUUAAAGGAAACAGAUUCCCCCAGGACUGAAUGAGUGUGUGUGUGUGUGUGUGUGUGUGUGUGUGUGUGUGUGUGUGUGUGUUUCAAAGGGUCUUACAUUCCAGCAGACACAGGAUCACAGAUCUGUCUAAUGCCAAGUUCUGGUAGAAUAAAAUGGUACCAUGGUCAGAUUCUUCCCAGCUUUCCAUAUGCUGUUGGAGCAGUGACCUCCUCAUCCUUGUGCAGUGGGCACACCUCUGUAUUAAUUGUACACAUAUACAUUCUUAAUAUUCCUGUGCAUCUCUUGUGGAUUCUUUUUCUAGCAACAGCUUGUGCUUUGGAAGUGAAGGG
rnacentral:lncRNA from 1 species